rnacentral:rRNA from 1 species
GCCCAGACUCCUACGGGAGGCAGCAGUGAGGAAUAUUGGUCAAUGGGCGGGAGCCUGAACCAGCCAAGUCGCGUGAGGGAAGACGGUCCUACGGAUUGUAAACCUCUUUUGCCGGGGAGCAACGGGGUCCUUGCGAGGGCCCGAUGAGAGUACCUGGAGAAAAAGCAUCGGCUAACUCCGUGCCAGCAGCCGCGGUAAUACGGAGGAUGCGGGCGUUAUCCGGAUUUAUUGGGUUUAAAGGGUGCGUAGGGGGCCGCUUAAGUCAGCGGUAAAAUUGCGGGGCUCAACCUCGUCGAGCCGUUGAAACUGGGUGCCUUGAGUGGGCGAGAAGUACGCGGAAUGCGUGGUGUAGCGGUGAAAUGCAUAGAUAUCGCGCAGAACUCCGAUUGCGAAGGCAGCAUGCCGGCUCUACACUGACGCUGAGGCACGAAAGCGUGGGUAUCGAACAGGAUUAGAUACCCGAGUA